GUCCACGCCCUAAACGAUGUCAACUAGGUGUUGGGUGGGUAAAACCAUUUAGUACCGGAGCUAACGCGUGAAGUUGACCGCCUGGGGAGUACGGCCGCAAGGUUAAAACUCAAAGGAAUUGACGGGGACCCGCACAAGCGGUGGAUGAUGUGGAUUAAUUCGAUGCAACGCGAAAACCUUACCUACCCUUGACAUGUUCAGAAGCCUGAAGAGAUUUUGGGGUGUGCCCCGAAAGGGAGCUGAAACACAGGUGCUGCAUGGCUGUCGU
rnacentral:rRNA from 1 species